rnacentral:rRNA from 1 species
GACGAACGCUGGCGGUGUGCUUAACACAUGCAAGUCGAACGGAAAGGCCCUGCUUUUGUGGGGUGCUCGAGUGGCGAACGGGUGAGUAACACGUGAGUAACCUGCCCUUGACUUUGGGAUAACUUCAGGAAACUGGGGCUAAUACCGGAUAGGAGCUCCUGCUGCAUGGUGGGGGUUGGAAAGUUUCGGCGGUUGGGGAUGGACUCGCGGCUUAUCAGCUUGUUGGUGGGGUAGUGGCUUACCAAGGCUUUGACGGGUAGCCGGCCUGAGAGGGUGACCGGCCACAUUGGGGCUGAGAUACGGCCCAGACUCCUACGGGAGGCAGCAGUGGGGAAUAUUGCACAAUGGGCGGAAGCCUGAUGCAGCAACGCCGCGUGCGGGAUGACGGCCUUCGGGUUGUAAACCGCUUUCGCCUGUGACGAAGCGUGAGUGACGGUAAUGGGUAAAGAAGCACCGGCUAACUACGUG